rnacentral:rRNA from 1 species
CGCGGCCUAUCAGCUUGUUGGUGAGGUAAAGGCUCACCAAGGCAUUGACGGGUAGCUGGUCUGAGAGGACGAUCAGCCACACUGGGACUGAGACACGGCCCAGACUCCUGCGGGAGGCAGCAGUGGGGAAUCUUGCGCAAUGGGCGAAAGCCUGACGCAGCAACGCCGCGUGGGGGAUGAAGGCUCUCGGGUUGUAAACCCCUUUCAGCAGGGACGAAAUUGACGGUACCUGUAGAAGAAGCCCCGGCCAACUACGUGCCAGCAGCCGCGGUAACACGUAGGGGGCGAGCGUUGUCCGGAAUUAUUGGGCGUAAAGGGCUCGUAGGCGGUUCGGUAAGUCAGAUGUGAAAGGUCGGGGCUCAACCCUAAGACUGCAUUUGAUACUGCCGUGACUAGAGUCCGGUAGAGGAGUGUGGAAUUCCUGGUGUAGCGGUGAAAUGCGCAGAUAUCAGGAGGAACACCGACGGCGAAGGCAGCACUCUGGGCCGGUACUGACGCUGAGGAGCGAAAGCGUGGGUAGCAAACAGGAUUAGAUACCCUGGUAGUCCACGCCGUAAACGUUGGGCACUAGGUGUGGGACCUUAUCAACGGGUUCCGUGCCGUAGCUAACGCAUUAAGUGCCCCGCCUGGGGAGUACGG